UGCAAGUCGAGCGGAGUGAUGGUGCUUGCACUAUCACUUAGCGGCGGACGGGUGAGUAAUGCUUAGGAAUCUGCCUAUUAGUGGGGGACAACAUUUCGAAAGGAAUGCUAAUACCGCAUACGUCCUACGGGAGAAAGCAGGGGAUCUUCGGACCUUGCGCUAAUAGAUGAGCCUAAGUCGGAUUAGCUAGUUGGUGGGGUAAAGGCCUACCAAGGCGACGAUCUGUAGCGGGUCUGAGAGGAUGAUCCGCCACACUGGGACUGAGACACGGCCCAGACUCCUACGGGAGGCAGCAGUGGGGAAUAUUGGACAAUGGGCGCAAGCCUGAUCCAGCCAUGCCGCGUGUGUGAAGAAGGCCUUAUGGUUGUAAAGCACUUUAAGCGAGGAGGAGGCUACUGAAGUUAAUACCUUCAGAUAGUGGACGUUACUCGCAGAAUAAGCACCGGCUAACUCUGUGCCAGCAGCCGCGGUAAUACAGAGGGUGCAAGCGUUAAUCGGAUUUACUGGGCGUAAAGCGCGCGUAGGCGGCUAAUUAAGUCAAAUGUGAAAUCCCCGAGCUUAACUUGGGAAUUGCAUUCGAUACUGGUUAGCUAGAGUGUGGGAGAGGAUGGUAGAAUUCCAGGUGUAGCGGUGAAAUGCGUAGAGAUCUGGAGGAAUACCGAUGGCGAAGGCAGCCAUCUGGCCUAACACUGACGCUGAGGUGCGAAAGCAUGGGGAGCAAACAGGAUUAGAUACCCUGGUAGUCCAUGCCGUAAACGAUGUCUACUAGCCGUUGGGGCCUUUGAGGCUUUAGUGGCGCAGCUAACGCGAUAAGUAGACCGCCUGGGGAGUACGGUCGCAAGACUAAAACUCAAAUGAAUUGACGGGGGCCCGCACAAGCGGUGGAGCAUGUGGUUUAAUUCGAUGCAACGCGAAGAACCUUACCUGGCCUUGACAUAGUAAGAACUUUCCAGAGAUGGAUUGGUGCCUUCGGGAACUUACAUACAGGUG
rnacentral:rRNA from 1 species